GACGAACGCUGGCGGCGUGCUUAACACAUGCAAGUCGAACGGAAAGGCCUCUUUCGGGGGGUACUCGAGUGGCGAACGGGUGAGUAACACGUGAGUAACCUGCCCUUGACUUUGGGAUAACUUCAGGAAACUGGGGCUAAUACCGGAUAGGAGCUCCUGCUGCAUGGUGGGGGUUGGAAAGUUUCGGCGGUUGGGGAUGGACUCGCGGCUUAUCAGCUUGUUGGUGGGGUAGUGGCUUACCAAGGCUUUGACGGGUAGCCGGCCAGAGAGGGUGACCGGCCACAGUGGGACUGAGAUACGGCCCAGACUCCUACGGGAGGCAGCAGUGGGGAAUAUUGCACAAUGGGUGGAAGCCUGAUGCAGCAACGCCGUGUGCGGGAUGACGGCCUUCGGGUUGUAAACCGCUUUCGCUCAUGACGAAGCUUUGUGUGACGGUAGUGGGUAAAGAAGCACCGGCUAACUACGUG
rnacentral:rRNA from 1 species